GCCCUCGCGGGCCCCUCGUCACACUCUGGAUGCAAUGCGCUCGCGCGCUAGUCUUGGCUCCGGCCUCGACACAACCUUUGUAAUCCAUGUCAUGCUUGUAUUGAAAUGUGAAAGAUUUACAACCAGUAGCGUUGGAUCCCUUGGCACGUCAUUCGAUGAAGACCGUUGCAAAAUGCGAUAAGUGGUGUGAUAUGCAAGUCCAAAACUUAUACGUGAAUCAUCGAAUUGUUGAACGCACUGCAUCGAGCCUUACCCAGGAACGAUACGCCCCAUUGAGCGUCAUUACGUCUUCGCGACCGGCCAUUUGGUUGACCGGUCCGGGUUCGGGAUUCACAGCCCGUCAAGGUUGCGCUUCCUUAGAAACAUGUCUGCGUCGGUGCCGACGGUGACCUUGUCAUGAAUGUCGAGGUGUGCCGGCAAGCGCCGCGUGCAAGAUCCGCACCUUGCGUGUGGAUCAACGGCAGCCACCUCGCGGUGGAGGCGACUUCUCUACAUGACCUCACGGGGGUGGGACGACCCGCUAGACUUAAGCAUAUUAAUCA
rnacentral:rRNA from 1 species